AUGGAUAAAAACCAAACAGAAGUGAUGAGAGAAUUUUUCUUGUCAGGGUUCUCACAGACACCAUCUAUUGAAGCAGGGCUAUUUGUACUAUUUCUUUUCUUCUAUAUGUCCAUUUGGGUUGGCAAUGUCCUCAUCAUGGUCACAGUAGCAUCUGAUAAAUACCUGAAUUCAUCACCCAUGUAUUUCCUUCUUGGCAACCUCUCAUUUCUGGACCUAUGUUAUUCAACAGUAACGACCCCUAAGCUUCUGGCUGACUUCUUUAAUCAUGAAAAACUCAUUUCCUAUGACCAAUGCAUUGUGCAACUCUUCUUCCUGCAUUUUGUAGGGGCAGCUGAGAUGUUCCUGCUCACAGUGAUGGCGUACGAUCGCUAUGUUGCAAUCUGUCGCCCGCUGCACUACACCACUGUCAUGAGUCGGGGGUUAUGCUGUGUGUUGGUUGCUGCCUCCUGGAUGGGAGGAUUUGUGCACUCCACUGUCCAGACCAUUCUCACUGUCCAUCUACCCUUUUGUGGGCCAAAUCAGGUGGAAAACUUUUUUUUGUGAUGUUCCCCCUGUCAUCAAACUUGCUUGUGCUGACACUUUUGUCAUUGAAUUGCUCAUGGUAUCUAACAGUGGGUUGAUCUCCACCAUCUCCUUUGUGGUGCUGAUUUCCUCCUACACCACUAUCCUAGUCAAGAUUCGCUCCAAGGAAGGAAGGCGAAAGGCACUCUCCACGUGUGCCUCUCACCUCAUGGUGGUAACACUGUUUUUUGGACCCUGUAUUUUCAUCUACGCUCGUCCUUUCUCUACAUUUUCUGUGGACAAGAUGGUGUCUGUACUCUACAAUGUUAUUACCCCAAUGCUAAACCCCCUCAUCUACACACUUCGGAACAAAGAGGUAAAGUCAGCCAUGCAGAAGCUCUGGGUCAGAAAUGGGCUUACUUGGAAAAAGCAGGAGACAUGA